rnacentral:rRNA from 1 species
ACGGGUGAGUAACACGUGGGUAACCUGCCCAUAAGACUGGGAUAACUCCGGGAAACCGGGGCUAAUACCGGAUAACAUUUUGAACCGCAUGGUUCGAAAUUGAAAGGCGGCUUCGGCUGUCACUUAUGGAUGGACCCGCGUCGCAUUAGCUAGUUGGUGAGGUAACGGCUCACCAAGGCAACGAUGCGUAGCCGACCUGAGAGGGUGAUCGGCCACACUGGGACUGAGACACGGCCCAGACUCCUACGGGAGGCAGCAGUAGGGAAUCUUCCGCAAUGGACGAAAGUCUGACGGAGCAACGCCGCGUGAGUGAUGAAGGCUUUCGGGUCGUAAAACUCUGUUGUUAGGGAAGAACAAGUGCUAGUUGAAUAAGCUGGCACCUUGACGGUACCUAACCAGAAAGCCACGGCUAACUACGUGCCAGCAGCCGCGGUAAUACGUAGGUGGCAAGCGUUAUCCGGAAUUAUUGGGCGUAAAGCGCGCGCAGGUGGUUUCUUAAGUCUGAUGUGAAAGCCCACGGCUCAACCGUGGAGGGUCAUUGGAAACUGGGAGACUUGAGUGCAGAAGAGGAAAGUGGAAUUCCAUGUGUAGCGGUGAAAUGCGUAGAGAUAUGGAGGAACACCAGUGGCGAAGGCGACUUUCUGGUCUGUAACUGACACUGAGGCGCGAAAGCGUGGGGGAGCAACAGGAU